rnacentral:rRNA from 1 species
AGUGAACGCUGGCGGUAGGCCUAACACAUGCAACUCGAACGGCAGCACAGUAAGAGCUUGCUCUUACGGGUGGCGAGUGGCGGACGGGUGAGGAAGACAUCGGAAUCUACUUUUUCGUGGGGGAUAACGUAGGGAAACUUACGCUAAUACCGCAUACGACCUACGGGUGAAAGCAGGGGAUCUUCGGACCUUGCGCGAUUGAAUGAGCCGAUGUCGGAUUAGCUAGUUGGCGGGGUAAAGGCCCACCAAGGCGACGAUCCGUAGCUGGUCUGAGAGGAUGAUCCGCCACACUGGAACUGAGACACGGUCCAGACUCCUACGGGAGGCAGCAGUGGGGAAUAUUGGACAAUGGGCGCAAGCCUGAUCCAGCCAUACCGCGUGGGUGAAGAAGGCCUUCGGGUUGUAAAGCCCUUUUGUUGGGAAAGAAAAGCAGCAGGUUAAUACCCCGCUGUUCUGACGGUACCCAAAGAAUAAGCACCGGGUAACUUCGUG